rnacentral:rRNA from 1 species
ACUUAAAUUGAAGAGUUUGAUCAUGGCUCAGAUUGAACGCUGGCGGCAGGCCUAACACAUGCAAGUCGAGCGGUAGCACAGAGAGCUUGCUCUCGGGUGACGAGCGGCGGACGGGUGAGUAAUGUCUGGGAAACUGCCUGAUGGAGGGGGAUAACUACUGGAAACGGUAGCUAAUACCGCAUAACGUCGCAAGACCAAAGUGGGGGACCUUCGGGCCUCAUGCCAUCAGAUGUGCCCAGAUGGGAUUAGCUAGUAGGUGGGGUAAUGGCUCACCUAGGCGACGAUCCCUAGCUGGUCUGAGAGGAUGACCAGCCACACUGGAACUGAGACACGGUCCAGACUCCUACGGGAGGCAGCAGUGGGGAAUAUUGCACAAUGGGCGCAAGCCUGAUGCAGCCAUGCCGCGUGUAUGAAGAAGGCCUUCGGGUUGUAAAGUACUUUCAGCGAGGAGGAAGGC